rfam:Schistosoma mattheei strain Denwood, Zambia genome assembly, scaffold: SMTD_scaffold0008065
AUUCAACUGAGGAGUUCCAAAUAGGAUGAAAUAUGCGUCGUGGAU